GAAAUAACUGAGAUGGGUUAUGUAAGCAUAAAAACACAUUGUCAUCGUUUGCUUCAAAAGUUUGUUUGAAAUGUUUUAAAUCCUAGAAAAUCAGGGAAGUGUCAGCAAAAUCUAUAUUUGGUAUGGCAUCGGAAAAAUCACAAGAUUAGAGUCUUCUGUUGAAACGAGGACUGAAAACAUGGCUGUUAAGAGAAGUAUGUGCUGUCGUAAGAGCCUGCAGUGAAGGAGCUGGCCUUGAUGAAGCAGCAGAAUGUGAAAUGCCAAAACAGAUGGAGUUGCUUGGAUACAAGGAGAAUCUUACAGAAUACAAAUGAACUUGAAGGCAUUAGUAAUAUUUUCAAAAUAAUAGAGAAAUGGCACAAAGAGUGAAAGAGGUGAAAUCUGUCUUUGAUGGGAAUAAUAUCUAAAAGGAGUAUUGUACAUAUCUGCUGGCAGCUUUAAAAAAAUUAAUGAUUACUGAAAUUCAGAAAUGUCAACAGUAUGAAAUGAGCAAAAUUACUUCCCUAACAAGAUUUUAUAAGAGAUAAAGUAGUGGGAUAUUUCCUUGAAAUAAUGUUCAUCAUCAAUGCUGAAGUUUACAGGGACAAAAAUAUGAAAUCAUGUGUUCAUAGACAGCCCCAGGACACACACAGUGGAUGCAUUGUGUUCUCCUGGGUUGCAUAACUACUUUGAAAGAAGUUUUCUUUUCUGUGUCAUAAAAGAAGACUUUUUGGCUCUGCCAGGAUACUCUACUAUUUGGCCCCAUAGACUUCAAGCAUGUCCGAAGAUACGUGCCAAUUGCUUGUUGGUUUUUGAAGAUCAUUCUGAUCUCUGCUGAGUUACCCAACUGGACUCAGAAGGGUCUGACCCACGUGCCACAUUCCAGCUGUUUGCUUGUUUGUUUUUAAUCUCAACCUAGUUUAAUGGGAAGAAGGUGAGUCAC